rnacentral:rRNA from 1 species
AACGAACGCUGGCGGUAUGCCUAACACAUGCAAGUCGAACGAUGCCUUCGGGCAUAGUGGCGCACGGGUGCGUAACGCGUGGGAAUCUGCCCUUGGGUUCGGAAUAACUCAGAGAAAUUUGAGCUAAUACCGGAUGAUGACGUAAGUCCAAAGAUUUAUCGCCCAAGGAUGAGCCCGCGUAAGAUUAGCUAGUUGGUGGGGUAAAGGCCUACCAAGGCGACGAUCUUUAGCUGGUCUGAGAGGAUGAUCAGCCACACUGGGACUGAGACACGGCCCAGACUCCUACGGGAGGCAGCAGUGGGGAAUAUUGGACAAUGGGCGAAAGCCUGAUCCAGCAAUGCCGCGUGAGUGAUGAAGGCCUUAGGGUUGUGAAGCUCUUUUACCAGGGAUGAUAAUGACAGUACCUGGAGAAUAAGCUCCGGCUAACUCCGUG